ACUAAGCGUACACGGUGGAUGCCCUGGCAGUCAGAGGCGAUGAAGGACGUGCUAAUCUGCGAAAAGCGCCGGCGAGGUGAUAUGAACCUUUGACCCGGCGAUGUCCGAAUGGGGAAACCCAGUGCAAUUCGUUGCACUAUCGUUAACUGAAUACAUAGGUUAACGAGGCGAACCGGGGGAACUGAAACAUCUAAGUACCCCGAGGAAAAGAAAUCAACCGAGAUUCCCCCAGUAGCGGCGAGCGAACGGGGAGCAGCCCGGAGUCUGAAUCAGCUUGUGUGUUAGUGGAACGGUCUGGAAAGUCCGACGGUACAGGGUGAUAGUCCCGUACACGAAAGCACACAUGCUGUGAACUCGAAGAGUAGGGCGGGACACGUGGUAUCCUGUCUGAAUAUGGGGGGACCAUCCUCCAAGGCUAAAUACUCCUGACUGACCGAUAGUGAACCAGUACCGUGAGGGAAAGGCGAAAAGAACCCCGGCGAGGGGAGUGAAAAAGAACCUGAAACCGUGUACGUACAAGCAGUGGGAGCCUCUUUAUGGGGUGACUGCGUACCUUUUGUAUAAUGGGUCAGCGACUUAUAUUCUGUAGCAAGGUUAACCGUAUAGGGGAGCCGAAGGGAAACCGAGUCUUAACUGGGCGUUAAGUUGCAGGGUAUAGACCCGAAACCCGGUGAUCUAGCCAUGGGCAGGUUGAAGGUUGGGUAACACUAACUGGAGGACCGAACCGACUAAUGUUGAAAAAUUAGCGGAUGACCUGUGGCUGGGGGUGAAAGGCCAAUCAAACCGGGAGAUAGCUGGUUCUCCCCGAAAGCUAUUUAGGUAGCGCCUCGUGAACUCAUCUUCGGGGGUAGAGCACUGUUUCGGCUAGGGGGCCAUCCCGGCUUACCAACCCGAUGCAAACUACGAAUACCGAAGAAUGUUAUCACGGGAGACACACGGCGGGUGCUAACGUCCGUCGUGAAGAGGGAAACAACCCAGACCGCCAGCUAAGGUCCCAAAGUCAUGGUUAAGUGGGAAACGAUGUGGGAAGGCACAGACAGCCAGGAUGUUGGCUUAGAAGCAGCCAUCAUUUAAAGAAAGCGUAAUAGCUCACUGGUCGAGUCGGCCUGCGCGGAAGAUGUAACGGGGCUAAACCAUGCACCGAAGCUGCGGCAGCGACGCUUAUGCGUUGUUGGGUAGGGGAGCGUUCUGUAAGCCGUUGAAGGUGUGCUGUGAGGCAUGCUGGAGGUAUCAGAAGUGCGAAUGCUGACAUAAGUAACGAUAAAGCGGGUGAAAAGCCCGCUCGCCGGAAGACCAAGGGUUCCUGUCCAACGUUAAUCGGGGCAGGGUGAGUCGACCCCUAAGGCGAGGCCGAAAGGCGUAGUCGAUGGGAAACAGGUUAAUAUUCCUGUACUUGGUGUUACUGCGAAGGGGGGACGGAGAAGGCUAUGUCAGCCGGGCGACGGUUGUCCCGGUUUAAGCAUGUAGGCGGAGGUUCCAGGUAAAUCCGGUACCUUAUUAACGCUGAGGUGUGAUGACGAGGCACUACGGUGCUGAAGUGAUAAAUGCCCUGCUUCCAGGAAAAGCCUCUAAGCAUCAGGUAACACGAAAUCGUACCCCAAACCGACACAGGUGGUCAGGUAGAGAAUACCAAGGCGCUUGAGAGAACUCGGGUGAAGGAACUAGGCAAAAUGGUGCCGUAACUUCGGGAGAAGGCACGCUGAUAUGUAGGUGAAGUCCCUGCGGACGGAGCUGAAAUCAGUCGAAGAUACCAGCUGGCUGCAACUGUUUAUUAAAAACACAGCACUGUGCAAACACGAAAGUGGACGUAUACGGUGUGACGCCUGCCCGGUGCCGGAAGGUUAAUUGAUGGGGUUAGCGGCAACGCGAAGCUCUUGAUCGAAGCCCCGGUAAACGGCGGCCGUAACUAUAACGGUCCUAAGGUAGCGAAAUUCCUUGUCGGGUAAGUUCCGACCUGCACGAAUGGCGUAAUGAUGGCCAGGCUGUCUCCACCCGAGACUCAGUGAAAUUGAACUCGCUGUGAAGAUGCAGUGUACCCGCGGCAAGACGGAAAGACCCCGUGAACCUUUACUAUAGCUUGACACUGAACACUGGUCCUUGAUGUGUAGGAUAGGUGGGAGGCUUUGAAGCGUGGACGCCAGUCUGCGUGGAGCCAACCUUGAAAUACCACCCUUUAAUGGCUGGUGUUCUAACGUAGACCCGUAAUCCGGGUUGCGGACAGUGUCUGGUGGGUAGUUUGACUGGGGCGGUCUCCUCCCAAAGAGUAACGGAGGAGCACGAAGGUUGGCUAAUCCUGGUCGGACAUCAGGAGGUUAGUGCAAUGGCAUAAGCCAGCUUGACUGCGAGCGUGACGGCGCGAGCAGGUGCGAAAGCAGGUCAUAGUGAUCCGGUGGUUCUGAAUGGAAGGGCCAUCGCUCAACGGAUAAAAGGUACUCCGGGGAUAACAGGCUGAUACCGCCCAAGAGUUCAUAUCGACGGCGGUGUUUGGCACCUCGAUGUCGGCUCAUCACAUCCUGGGGCUGAAGUAGGUCCCAAGGGUAUGGCUGUUCGCCAUUUAAAGUGGUACGCGAGCUGGGUUUAGAACGUCGUGAGACAGUUCGGUCCCUAUCUGCCGUGGGCGCUGGAGAAUUGAGGGGGGCUGCUCCUAGUACGAGAGGACCGGAGUGGACGCAUCACUGGUGUUCGGGUUGUCAUGCCAAUGGCACUGCCCGGUAGCUAAAUGCGGAAAAGAUAAGUGCUGAAAGCAUCUAAGCACGAAACUUGCCCCGAGAUGAGUUCUCCCUGAGACCUUGAGUCUCCUGAAGGAACGUUGAAGACGACGACGUUGAUAGGUCGGGUGUGUAAGCGCAGCGAUGCGUUGAGCUAACCGAUACUAAUGAACCGUGAGGCUUAACC
rnacentral:rRNA from 1 species